UGGCCUUUAUUAAGCGGGCCGAGUGAAGCGGCAAAAGCUCAAUUUGAAAUCUGGCUCUUUCAGAGUCCGAGUUGUAAUUUGAAGAAGGUAUCUUUGGGUCUGGCUCUUGUCUAUGUUUCUUGGAACAGAACGUCACAGAGGGUGAGAAUCCCGUGCGAUGAGAUGAUCCAGGCCUAUGUAAAGUUCCUUCGAAGAGUCGAGUUGUUUGGGAAUGCAGCUCUAAGUGGGUGGUAAAUUCCAUCUAAAGCUAAAUAUUGGCGAGAGACCGAUAGCGAACAAGUACAGUGAUGGAAAGAUGAAAAGAACUUUGAAAAGAGAGUGAAAAAGUACGUGAAAUUGUUGAAAGGGAAGGGCUUGAGAUCAGACUUGGUAUUUUGUAUGUUACUUCUUCGGGGGUGGCCUCUACAGUUUAUCGGGCCAGCAUCAGUUUGGGCGGUAGGAGAAUUGCGUUGGAAUGUGGCACGGCUUCGGUUGUGUGUUAUAGCCUUCGUCGAUACUGCCAGCC
rnacentral:rRNA from 1 species